UAGGGAAUUUUCGUCAAUGGGCGCAAGCCUGAACGAGCAAUGCCGCGUGAGCGAAGAAGGUCUUCGGAUCGUAAAACUCUGUUGCGGGGAAAAAGGAAGGGAAGAGGAAAUGCUUUUUCUUUUGAUGGUACCCCGCCAGAAAGAUCACGGCUAACUACGUGCCAGCAGCCGCGGUAAUACGUAGGUGGCAAGCGUUAUCCGGAAUGAUUGGGCGUAAAGGGUGCGCAGGCUGCGCGUCAAGUCUGAAGUGAAAGGUACGGGCUUAACCGGUACAGGCUUUGGAAACUGGCACGCUAGAGGACAGGAGAGGGCGGUGGAACUCCAUGUGUAGCGGUAAAUGCGUAGAUAUAUGGAAGAACACCAGUUGCGAAGGCGACCGCCUGGACUGUUGCUGACGCUCAGGCACGAAAGCGUGGGGAGCAAAUAGGAUUAGAUACC
rnacentral:rRNA from 1 species